rnacentral:rRNA from 1 species
GAUGAACGCUGGCGGCGUGCCUAAUACAUGCAAGUCGAGCGAACAGACGAGGAGCUUGCUCCUCUGACGUUAGCGGCGGACGGGUGAGUAACACGUGGGUAACCUACCUAUAAGACUGGGAUAACUUCGGGAAACCGGAGCUAAUACCGGAUAAUAUUUGGAACCGCAUGGUUCUAUAGUGAAAGAUGGUUUUGCUAUCACUUAUAGAUGGAUCCGCGCCGUAUUAGCUAGUUGGUAAGGUAACGGCUUACCAAGGCGACGAUACGUAGCCGACCUGAGAGGGUGAUCGGCCACACUGGAACUGAGACACGGUCCAGACUCCUACGGGAGGCAGCAGUAGGGAAUCUUCCGCAAUGGGCGAAAGCCUGACGGAGCAACGCCGCGUGAGUGAUGAAGGUCUUCGGAUCGUAAAACUCUGUUAUUAGGGAAGAACAAAUGUGUAAGUAACUAUGCACGUCUUGACGGUACCUAAUCAGAAAGCCACGGCUAACUACGUG